ACGGGCGUAGUUCAGCUGGCUAGAAUGUCGGUCUCCAAAACCGAAGGUCGUAGGUUCGAGUCCUACCGCCCGUGCCA
rnacentral:tRNA from 1 species